rnacentral:rRNA from 1 species
ACGGGUGAGUAAUACGUAGGAAUUUGUCCGACGGAGGGGGAUAACACGGGGAAACUCGUGCUAAUACCGCAUAAAGUUUGUAACUGUGAAGGUUAUAAAUGAAAGGUUUGUUAAUGAGAGUUAAUAAGCCGUCGACGGGGGAGCCUACGGUGGAUUAGCUAGUUGGUAGGGUAAAGGCCUACCAAGGCAAAGAUCCAUAGCUGUUCUGAGAGGAAGAUCAGCCACACUGGGACUGAGACACGGCCCAGACUCCUACGGGAGGCAGCAGUGGGGAAUAUUGGACAAUGGGCGAAAGCCUGAUCCAGCAAUGCCGCGUGCGCGAAGAAGGCCUGCGGGUUGUAAAGCGCUUUAGAUGAGGGGGAAGAUUGUAUUAGAAGUAAUACAGUUUGACGUGAAUCAUAGAAUAAGCACCGGCUAACUCUGUGCCAGCAGCCGCGGUAAUACAGAGGGUGCGAGCGUUAAUCGGAAUGACUGGGCGUAAAGGGUGCGUAGGUGGAUAUUUAAGUUGAGUUUUAAAGACCUGGGCUUAACCUGGGGAAGGGGCGCAAUACUGGAUAUCUAGAGUACAGUAGAGG